GGGUGAGUAACGCGUGGGAACGUGCCUUCUGGUCUGGAAUAACCCUGGGAAACUAGGGCUAAUACCGGAUACGCCCUUUUGGGGAAAGGUUUACUGCCGGAAGAUCGGCCCGCGUCUGAUUAGCUAGUUGGUGGGGUAACGGCCUACCAAGGCGACGAUCAGUAGCUGGUCUGAGAGGAUGAUCAGCCACACUGGGACUGAGACACGGCCCAGACUCCUACGGGAGGCAGCAGUGGGGAAUAUUGGACAAUGGGCGCAAGCCUGAUCCAGCCAUGCCGCGUGAGUGAUGAAGGCCUUAGGGUUGUAAAGCUCUUUUAUCCGGGACGAUAAUGACGGUACCGGAGGAAUAAGCCCCGGCUAACUUCGUGCCAGCAGCCGCGGUAAUACGAAGGGGGCUAGCGUUGCUCGGAAUCACUGGGCGUAAAGGGCGCGUAGGCGGCGUUUUAAGUCGGGGGUGAAAGCCUGUGGCUCAACCACAGAAUGGCCUUCGAUACUGGGACGCUUGAGUAUGGUAGAGGUUGGUGGAACUGCGAGUGUAGAGGUGAAAUUCGUANAUAUUCGCAAGAACACCGGUGGCGAAGGCGGCCAACUGGACCAUUACUGACGCUGAGGCGCGAAAGCGUGGGGAGCAAACAGGAUUANAUACCCUGGUAGUCCACGCCGUAAACNAUGAAUGCCAGCUGUUGGGGUGCUUGCACCGCAGUANCGCANCUAACGCUUUGAGCAUUCCGCCUGGGGAGUACGGUC
rnacentral:rRNA from 1 species